UGAUCCGGGUUGCGGACAGUGUCUGGUGGGUAGUUUGACUGGGGCGGUCUCCUCCUAAAGAGUAACGGAGGAGCACGAAGGUUGGCUAAUCCUGGUCGGACAUCAGGAGGUUAGUGCAAUGGCAUAAGCCAGCUUGACUGCGAGCGUGACGGCGCGAGCAGGUGCGAAAGCAGGUCAUAGUGAUCCGGUGGUUCUGAAUGGAAGGGCCAUCGCUCAACGGAUAAAAGGUACUCCGGGGAUAACAGGCUGAUACCGCCCAAGAGUUCAUAUCGACGGCGGUGUUUGGCACCUCGAUGUCGGCUCAUCACAUCCUGGGGCUGAAGUAGGUCCCAAGGGUAUGGCUGUUCGCCAUUUAAAGUGGUACGCGAGCUGGGUUUAGAACGUCGUGAGACAGUUCGGUCCCUAUCUGCCGUGGGCGCUGGAGAACUGAGGGGGGCUGCUCCUAGUACGAGAGGACCGGAGUGGACGCAUCACUGGUGUUCGGGUUGUCAUGCCAAUGGCACUGCCCGGUAGCUAAAUGCGGAAGAGAUAAGUGCUGAAAGCAUCUAAGCACGAAACUUGCC
rnacentral:rRNA from 1 species